rnacentral:rRNA from 1 species
CCUACGGGAGGCAGCAGUGAGGAAUAUUGGUCAAUGGGCGCUAGCCUGAACCAGCCAAGUAGCGUGAAGGAUGACUGCCCUAUGGGUUGUAAACUUCUUUUAUAAGGGAAUAAAGUGCAGUAUGUAUACUGCUUUGCAUGUACCUUAUGAAUAAGCAUCGGCUAACUCCGUGCCAGCAGCCGCGGUAAUACGGAGGGACCGAGCGUUAUCCGGAUUUAUUGGGGUUAAAGGGUGCGUAGGGGGGGUUUUAAGUCAGCGGGGAAAAUUUCGGGCGUAACCCCCGCCCGGCAUUUGAAACUGGGUGGCUUGAGUGCGCGAGAGGAAGGCGGAAUGCGUGGUGUAGCGGUGAAAUGCAUAGAUAUCACGCAGAACCCCGAUUGCGAAGGCAGCUUUCUG